rnacentral:rRNA from 1 species
UGAGGGAUUGAAUUAUUAAUUUUUGUGAGGAAAAUAUUCUUUAUUUUUAUUACGGAUCAGGAAAAAAAAAUUUUUAAUUAUAGUUUAAUAGUAAAGUGGUUGAAUUUUGAAAUAUAAAUUAUCUGUUUGAAAGAAGAGUUUAUUUUUUGUACCUUGUGUAUCAGGGUUGAUUAAUUAAUUUUUAUUUAUUUUAAAUUUCUCGAAUUAGAAAGGGCUAAAUAAUUAUUUAUUUACUUGUGUUAUAAAGUUUUAAAAUUUUUAUUUAGUAAUGAAACGUUAAUCGUUUUCUAAUAUAUCUAGUUUUCUAAGAAAAGAAUUAAAUUCUAUCAUUUUUUAUUUUAAAAUUAAUUUUUAAUUUUAAUAUGUAAGUGUUAAAUAUCUAAUGGGAUGAGCUUUUAGAUAAAUUAUUAAAAAUUUUGUUUUAAUUAAAUUAUUUGUAUAAUUGAAAUUGUUAAUCUUUUGAAUAAUUUUAUAAUUAAUAUUUUUUAAUUAUUAUUUUUAUUUAUUUUAAAUAUUUUAUUAGAAUAUAAUUUAAAAUUUGUUAUAUUUAGUAAUAAUGAUUAAAUUAGUAAAUUUGAUUUGUUUAUAGAAUUUAUUUUGUUAGGUUUAGUAAAGGAAUUCGGCAAAUAGUUUUCUGCCUGUUUAUUAAAAACAUGUCUUUUUGAUUAUAAUUUAAAGUCUAAUCUGCUCAAUGAGGAGUUAAAUUGCCGCGGUAUUUUGACCGUGCAAAGGUAGCAUAAUAAUUAGCUUUUUGAUUGGGGGCUAGAAUGAAUGAUUGGACAAGAAAACUACUGUCUCUAUUAAAUUUUAAAUUUAAUUUAACUUUUGAGUAAAAAGGCUCAAAUUUUAUUUAAAGACGAUAAGACCCUAUAGAGUUUAAUCUUUUCUUUAAUUUUGAUAAGUUUAGGUAUUUUUAUUAAAAUUUAUUGAAAAUAUUUGGUUGGGGUGACUAGAAGAUUAUAUAAACUCUUCUGUAUUUAAUCAUUUAUUUAUGAAUAUCAAAUCUAGAUUUUCUAAUUUUAAAAUAAAUUACCUUAGGGAUAACAGCGUAAUUUUUCUUUAGAGUUCUUAUCGAUAGAAAAGUUUGCGACCUCGAUGUUGGAUUAAAAUUUAUUAUUGGCGCAAAAGCUUAUUAAUUAAGUCUGUUCGACUUUUAAAAUUUUACAUGAUCUGAGUUUAAACCGGUGUGAGCCAGGUUGGUUUCUAUCUUAAAUUAUUUAUAAUAUUUUAGUACGAAAGGACCAAGUAUUGAAUGAAUCAUUUUUGUUUUGAAUUAAAUU